GAUGACUUGGCUUUCUCACCAAAAGACCAUCAAUCCGUUGAAUCAUUUCUUCAGCUUGAAAAGGGCAGUCUCAAUGCUCCAUUUACUCAGUAUUAUAAAAGUGUCAUGCAAAAGGCUACUUCAAGGAAUCUAGACACUAAUGGAAUUAAAAGUUCCAUGGAGCGUAAGAAUAUGAAAAGAAAAAGAGGACGGCUUCCACGCAAAAUGCUUAAUGGUGGUGUCAAUAGUGAAGGAGAUGAUCCUAAAGGGUAGAAAAGCAC